UAUGACGCUUCAGAUUUUAUUCGUAUAUCCCUGAGAAUAAGGUUCGGGGGUUUCUACAAGGAACCGUAAAUUCCUGACUACGAAUAGGGUGCCCAGGCAU
rnacentral:ncRNA from 2 species